rnacentral:rRNA from 1 species
AUUCGAAGCAACGCGAAGAACCUUACCAAGUCUUGACAUCCCGACGACAGAGUAUGUAAUGUACUUUCUCUUCGGAGCGUCGGUGACAGGUGGUGCAUGGUUGUCGUCAGCUCGUGUCGUGAGAUGUUGGGUUAAGUCCCGCAACGAGCGCAACCCUUGUCCUUAGUAGCCAGCAGGUUAAGCUGGGCACUCUAGGGAGACCUGCCGGGGAUAAACCCGGAGGAAGGCGGGGAUGACGUCAAAUCAUCAUGCCCCUUAUGACUUGGGCUACACACGUGCUACAAUGGCGACUACAAAGAGAAGCGAGAGAGUGAUCUGGAGCAAAUCUCAAAAAGGUCGUCCCAGUUCGGAUUGUAGUCUGCAACUCGACUACAUGAAGCCGGAAUCGCUAGUAAUCGCGAAUCAGAAUGUCGCGGUGAAUACGUUCCCGGGUCUUGUACACACCGCCCGUCACACCAUGGGAGUCGGAAAUGCCCGAAGUCGGUGACCCAACCUAACGGAGGGAGCCGCCGAAGGCAGGGCCGGUGACUGGGGUG